GACGAACGCUGGCGGCGUGCUUAACACAUGCAAGUCGAACGGAAAGGCCCUGCUUUUGUGGGGUGCUCGAGUGGCGAACGGGUGAGUAACACGUGAGUAACCUGCCCUUGACUUUGGGAUAACACCAGGAAACUGGGGCUAAUACCGGAUAGGAGCUCCUGCUGCAUGGUGGGGGUUGGAGAGUUUCGGCGGUUGGGGAUGGUCUCGCGGCUUAUCAGCUUGUUGGUGGGGUAGUGGCUUACCAAGGCUUUGACGGGUAGCCGGCCUGAGAGGGUGGCCGGCCACCUUGGGACUGAGAUACGGCCCAGACUCCUACGGGCGGCAGCAGUGGGGAAUAUUGCACAAUGGGCGGAAGCCUGAUGCAGCAACGCCGCGUGCGGGAUGACGGCCUUCGGGUUGUAAACCGCUUUCGCCUUUGACGAGGCGUUAGUGACGGUAAUUGGUAAAGAAGCACCGGCUAACUACGUG
rnacentral:rRNA from 1 species